rnacentral:rRNA from 1 species
AUUGAACGCUGGCGGCAGGCCUAACACAUGCAAGUCGAGCGGAUGAAGGGAGCUUGCUCCUGGAUUCAGCGGCGGACGGGUGAGUAAUGCCUAGGAAUCUGCCUGGUAGUGGGGGAUAACGUCCGGAAACGGGCGCUAAUACCGCAUACGUCCUGAGGGAGAAAGUGGGGGAUCUUCGGACCUCACGCUAUCAGAUGAGCCUAGGUCGGAUUAGCUAGUUGGUGGGGUAAAGGCCUACCAAGGCGACGAUCCGUAACUGGUCUGAGAGGAUGAUCAGUCACACUGGAACUGAAACACGGUCCAGACUCCUACGGGAGGCAGCAGUGGGGAAUAUUGGACAAUGGGCGAAAGCCUGAUCCAGCCAUGCCGCGUGUGUGAAGAAGGUCUUCGGAUUGUAAAGCACUUUAAGUUGGGAGGAAGGGCAGUAAGUUAAUACCUUGCUGUUUUGACGUUACCAACAGAAUAGGCACCGGCUAACUUCGUG